rnacentral:sRNA from 1 species
ACAGAAAACCCUCCCCUCCCUGCUGUGCAUGACGCGGCCUCCCUCUGCACACAGUGCACGAAGACGCUGUCAGGAGAGCCCAGGAUUCAACACGGGCCUUGAGAAAUGUGGCUCUUGUACCUCUUGGUGCCGGCCAUGUUCUGCAGGGCAGGAGGCUCCAUUCCCAUCCCUCAGAAGUUAUUUGGGGAGGUGACUUCCCCUCUGUUCCCCAAGCCUUACCCCAACAACUUUGAAACAACCACUGUGAUCACAGUCCCCACGGGAUACAGGGUGAAGCUCGUCUUCCAGCAGUUUGACCUGGAGCCUUCUGAAGGCUGCUUCUAUGAUUAUGUCAAGGUAGGGGCAGGAUGGCCGGGCGGAGGGGAGACAAAACUGGGCCCUCUGGGAUCUGGGAUCUGUAUGGCAUGCACACCCCCAGACACAGCCCAGCCCCACAAGAGCUGAUGGCCAACGGCCUCUCUGAGAGCCCGGGGAUGCCCUGGAUGGUUGCUCACUGGUGUAGAGGCCCUCGGUGAGCACUGAGGGGAGAAGCACAGAGAAGGAAAGGGACAGAACCCAUUCAGGAAAUUCACCAUCCACUGAGUCAGGAAAACCUUCGCCAUCAGCUGUCUAGCUGAGAGUCUUUGGGAAAC